GACGAACGCUGGCGGCGUGCUUAACACAUGCAAGUCGAACGAAGAGCGAUGGAAGCUUGCUUCUAUCAAUCUUAGUGGCGAACGGGUGAGUAACGCGUAAUCAACCUGCCCUUCAGAGGGGGACAACAGUUGGAAACGACUGCUAAUACCGCAUACGAUCUAAUCUCGGCAUCGAGGAAAGAUGAAAGGUGGCCUCUAUUUAUAAGCUAUCACUGAAGGAGGGGAUUGCGUCUGAUUAGCUAGUUGGAGGGGUAACGGCCCACCAAGGCGAUGAUCAGUAGCCGGUCUGAGAGGAUGAACGGCCACAUUGGGACUGAGACACGGCCCAGACUCCUACGGGAGGCAGCAGUGGGGAAUCUUCUGCAAUGGACGAAAGUCUGACGGAGCAACGCCGCGUGAGUGAUGACGGCCUUCGGGUUGUAGAGCUCUGUUAAUCGGGACGAAAGGCCUUCUUGCGAACAGUAGAAGGAUAGACGGUACCG
rnacentral:rRNA from 1 species